GCUAGUAAAGUUAGCACCUAGAUUAAUGUGGAUUUGGCUGAUUUUCGUGGAAUAAAACGUGAUUUCUGAUCAACGCCUUCUUUUACACCAGAUGAUAACCUCCCACUGAUUGUAACAGCAGAGAGCCUGUGUGUUAUUCUACGUGAGUGUGAUGUAAUCUUAGCAUCCAGCAAAUAAAGUCCCAUAUCAGCUAAAAUGCAGCGUGACAAAGUCAUUAAAGUGCGUCAACACAGUGGAUUUAAUAGAGUUUUAAAGAACGAUCUCUGAGUGGAGUGAGGUUAGUUUUUUUGUCUCACUGCAGAUAUAAAAACUAACUCUGCAUCAGUCAGACGCAGCAAAGCUCACCGUCUGUAUGAGCGUGAGCGUCGGAAAGCUGAUAAAAUCGGCUGUAAAAUAAUUAAAACAAAAGUAAAAAUGCUCCUUUGCUUUUUAGAGUCAACAUCCAGAAGUCUGGAGCCGUGUUUCACUGACAGGCUGUCAGACUAACGCCCUGAUGAGCUCAGCAGGGACAAACUGGUCUGAUGUUUAGGAACACAGAACGUUCAGAUGUUGGCGUUUCACGUCACCUACUGAGGAAGGAGGCUCACCAGUAAAGAGAUGGUAGCUGGACCAGACCAAAAAUAUGGCGAUGACAUCAUGGAACUGGUCUUUGGAAAAGUUUUCCCUGAACCAACUCCGUUUCUAGAUGAGGUAGAGAAGAUCUGCAUCUCACCAACCCUCUGGUCUCAGUAUUCAGACAACGGAGGUCUCCCACUGUUAUCCAGGACCAGUUUGAAGCCCACAUACUGCCCCUCCCUCAUCAUCAGGAAACAUCAAUCCGUUUCCUGAGGACAACAGAAGACGGCAGGAGGACAGGAACUCUGUGACCUAGAUACCACCAGCACCGAGACACAAAGCACCUGUGUGCACAACGCCUGUUUAACUACUAAAGCCUGUUUAUUAUAUUGUUCUACUUAUUUGCUGUGAGGUUAAUACU